rnacentral:rRNA from 1 species
UACGAAGGGGGCGAGCGUUGUUCGGAUUUACUGGGCGUAAAGGGCGCGCAGGCGGUCUUGUUUGUCGAGUGUGAAAGCCCCGGGCUCAACCUGGGAACGGCGCUCGAAACGGCGGGACUAGAGAUCGGGAGAGGAGCGUGGAAUUCCCAGUGUAGAGGUGAAAUUCGUAGAUAUUGGGAAGAACACCGGUGGCGAAGGCGGCGCUCUGGACCGAGACUGACGCUGAGGCACGAAAGCGUGGGGGAGCAAACAGG